rfam:Strigamia maritima strain Brora ctg7180001230221, whole genome shotgun sequence.
UUCCAAGUAGCUUAAUGGUAAAGCACCCAACCACCAAUUGGAGGAUCUGGGUUCAAGACCCAGCUCGGGCU